rnacentral:lncRNA from 1 species
GAAGGGUGUGCGCCCCCUCAUUCUCGGCCUCCCCAUUUCGGUUUGGGGUGUUUUCGCAAGGUUGCCAGACGCGCAUCCAGAGAAGGAAACCACCAGAGCACGCAGAGGGGCGUCGCCUCGAGAUGGGAAGGGGCGACCCCAGCCAGGAUUCAUCCCGUCACCCUACCCCACCCCCCAUUCUGGCUUCCUUUAGGUUUAGGGCGACGUCCUCCUGGGAAGCCCUGCUCUGUCAGUCCAGGAACCCUCGGACCUCCACUUCUGUCCACCCCCUCGCAAAGCCCUUCAAGCCGGAGGGACUGGAGAAAGGCGACUUCGGGGCAGCUUGGGCCGGAGGGUGUUUUUCUUUUCAUUCCAGGCAGCUCUCCGCGUUCAUCUCGCACAUCUUCGUCAUUAUUGUUACAUUCUGGGCAUUCUGGGGGUGAUGUUAAGUGUGUCGUGAAGGGAGGAGAAAGGGGGAAGGUGCUGUGGAGUUACCUCUUCCUUUCCCGUCAUCAGGAACCGGAUUUUAGGAGCCUCGAUCAGGACCGGAGUGUGGAGCUGCGGCCCUACGCAGCCGCCUCCACCAGCGUCUUGGCCCAGUGGUCAUUAGGUAAGGAGAAGAGUGAAAUGGCUCAGGUGGAUUUUGAACUGUUUGAGCUUCAAUGCCAAAGCAUACCACAUGUUCAGUGAUUAAAACUGGGAAACGCCUGCUCCCAGCAGCGUGGAAUGAUUUGAUUCACUAUGAGCAAGCAGUCUCAUGGAAGAACAGCAAGAAAGGUCUCUCCAAGCCUUUCGGAUGAAAAGCUUUCUUAAGAUUACAGCCCUAUGGUUCAAAACAAGAUCUCCGCUUCAUAAUGCAAGGUAAGCAGACCUGCCACUACGCUGCAGAAACCUCUGCCCAUUUUGGCCUUUAUUAAAAUAAAUUAUGACUAAUUUACCACGGAGACGUUCAGAUAAACAAGUUCUAACCUAGCAACUUGAUAUUUCUUGGUUAUUUAUAAAUCGACAGCACCUCCUACAGGAAUUAAUUUGCUAGUGUUAUGUUAAAUGUUAGGUUAGGAGAAAAGUCCCUGCGGAGGCAGAGGGAGAAAUGCCUCCAAAAUGUGUCCUAUGCGCGUGCAGUUCCAGGCUCAUGGAUAAAUAAGAAACGUGUAAGUCUGCCAAGAUUUCUUUAAGGGAACUUCUCUAUUAAGGUAAGAAUGACAAAUUUCACCAGGCUGGUCUUCUAAAAAAUAUCCCCGUUGAGGACUUUUGUCUGGGUUCUUAAGUCAUAGAUUCAUUAAACGUGGAGGAUUCUUCUUGGGUUUUAGGUACUGAGAGGAAUCUCUACACAUACUAGACAUUCCUUUUAUUAUGAGGUUUAUCUUAUGAGGUUCAUCUCCUUGGUUUCUACCUUACAUUUCAAAAAGCAAAAGUAGAAUUACAUGUCCAAUAUUUUUAUUUUAAAAGUAACUUCCAAUUAUUUUCCCCAUCAUUAGGGUAUGUGGAACACAUUAGCUAAGCCUCUUGAAAGCUGUUUGUUACCAUGGUAUGAUUUUGUGUGAAAAUGCCUCUCUUCCGUUUUUAAGUUUACAAAGUUAGAAUGGUAGUUCAUUAGGGCUGCGGAGCACCCUUGGGUGACCAAGGCUGAAAAACAGACAGAAAAUCAACAUCUUCCAUAACUACACGGAAAUUUUUUCUCAGAAUUAGAUGGGUAAAAAUAUUGGAGCUUUUGGCAGUACUUUCUAGUUUCUCAAUCCUAACAAUAAGGAUAACUAAAUCAGAGACUAAAAAAAUCUCAGUCACUUUAUAAAGUUAAAAGUGGACCACAUUGGCCAGGCAUGGUGGUUCACGCCUAUAAUCCCAGCACUUUGGGAGGCUGAGGCAGGCAGAUUGCUUGAGCUCUGGAGUUCAAGACCAGCCUGAGCAACCUCAUCUGCAUUAAAAAAGUGGACCACGGUGUGUGAGUCAAAUGAGAAAAGUGUAAGAAAUAACAUAUUUAAUUCAUUUUUAAUUACAGGAGGCAUUUCAGCAUUUCUCUUCAUGAACACUAUAUUGCUUCAGAAACCCUUUAAGGUAGUAUUGCAUAGGUUUUGACAUUAUAAAAAUUAUAAAGUCUAAAAAGGCAGAAGAUAGAAAAUAAUCACUGCAACACUGAUGAACUCAAGGUGUAAAUUAGCAGUCUUUAUCAACUUCAAAUGCAUGCUUUUUUUUUUUUUUUAGUGAAGAAGGGAUCUUUGAGGUGCGCUAUAAGUUAUUAAACAAUACUGUGGAAGGAAUUCAAGUUCCUCCCCCCUUCGUCUUAAAAAUCUAAAUAAUCAAGGGUUGUUUACCUCUUCACUUAGUUUUUCUUAGAGGACAUUUGUUUCUGUGUGUGCACAGACAAGGCAAAGACAUAUAUAUCAGAUGAUGUGGUUUUACUUCUUUAAAAUGUUACUCUCUUGCAGAAUUUAUGAAAUUGUGACUGCCAACUAUCGAAACCAUCUAAUCAAUAUUUGUUUUGUAUUAAUUAGCAGAUGGUUAAAAAAUAUAGAACACUGAUAACAAAAAUACUUGUGUCCAAGAUGUGAAGAUUUUUGGAACUGUGUUACUUGUGAUUUGUACCAGUUCUUUCUAUAGUUUUCCCUUACCAUAUCCUUUGAAACACAAGGGAAAAUUUGCAGCUAAAUUUAAAUAUGCCUUAUAUACCUAUACUGGUGAAAUAUCAAAGUAGUUUGUUUCAUUUGAAAAUCUACCCCCUGCCCCCCGCCGCCGACCACUGGCAGGAUCAACCAGGUAUGAAGUAAAAUCUUUAAUAGUUGUAAGACAGUAAUAGAAGGGCCAUUUGUGGAAGGCAGAAUAAUAGUCCCUCAUAGAUGUACAUAUUCUAACCCCUGGGACCUGUGAAUAUGUUACAUUACGAAGAAAAGGGGAAUUAAAGUUGCAGAUAGAAUUAACAUUGAUCUUACAAUUGGGAGAUUAUUGCAUGAUUCUUCAGGUGGGCCCGAUGUAAUCACAAGGUACUUAAAAUUGGAAGAGGGAUGCAGAAUGUCAAAGUGUCAGAAUGAUUAGAUUUGAGAAGGACUUGACUCCUCUUUGUUAGCUUUGAAAAUGGAGGAAGGGGGCCAGGAGCCAAGAAAUGCAGGCAGCAUCUAGAAGCUGGAACAGGCAAGCAAACAUAUUUUCCCCUUGAGCCUCUAGAAGAAACAUAAUUCUACUGACACCUUGACUUUAGCCCAGUGAGACCCAUGUCAAACUUCUGACCUCUAGAACUGUUAAGCUAAUAGUUGGAUUGUUUUUUGUUUUGUUUUUGAGAUGGGAGUCUUGCUCCAUCACCCAGGCUGGAGUGCAGUGACGCGAUCUUGGCUCACUGCAACCUCCUCCUCCUGGGUUCAAGCGGUUCUCCCACCUCAGCCUCUUGAGUAGCUGGGAUUACAGGUGCAUGCCGCCAUGCCUAAUUUUUUUUUUUUCUUGAGAUGGAGUCUUACUCUGUCGCCCAUGCUGGAGUGCAGUGGCAUAAUCUCGGCUCACUGCAACAUCCACCUCCCGGGUACAAGCGAAUAUCCUGCCUCAAACUCCCGAAUAGCUGGGACUACAACGAGUGCCACCAUGCCCGGCUAAUUUUUGGUAUUUUUAGUAGACACGCAGUUUCACCAUGUUGGCCAGGCUGGUCUCGAACUCCUGACCUCAGGUGAUCUGCCCGCCUGGGCCUCCCAAAGUGCUGGGAUUACAGGCGUAAGCCACCGUGCCUGGCCCAGCUGGACUGUUUUAAGUUUGAGGUAACUUGUAUACCUGCACAAAAAACUAAUAUUAUCCAAAUGUAAACAGCUUAUUCUAUAGAACAAAAUGUUAAGGGGGCUUAAAAGUCUUAAAGAUUUAUUAAUCCAUUGUUUAAUUUAUACUAGUGAAUUUGGAUAAUGAUUACAAUUCACUUCAAGCAAAUUCAAAUCCUUGAAUAACAAAUUUGAAUUGAAAAAAUUAAAUUAUACCCAUUCAAUGUACUGUCAUUCUUUUAACAAUGUUUCAGAACAAAGAAAAUGUCACACAGUUAUAUGCAGUUUUUAUCUGGUAUGGGGCACAAUAAACAGUUACCAACAGAAAAUAUUUCUACAGCCCCAAAAUAGCUUACUUACAAAUAUUUGCAAAAUUCAUUCUUAUAGUACUCAUGUAGUUUUGUACUUAACAGUUUACAGAGAUGAAAAAUUAAAAUUGAGCUUUUUUAUUAGAAAGACAAUAGUACAUAAUUUAGCCCUUGCUAUAAGUAUUCAAUAAAAAAGUGGAGAUAUUUUUAUUCCCAGGUAAUUGUCACAUACAGUCUUUCUUCUCUACUU